rnacentral:rRNA from 1 species
GACGGAGGAUGCAAGCGUUAUUCGGAAUUAUUGGGCGUAAAGCGUCCGCAGGUGGCUGUUCAAGUCUGCUGUCAAAGCGCAGAGCUUAACUCUGUACAGGCGGUGGAAACUGAAGAGCUAGAGUAUGGUAGGGGUAGAGGGAAUUCCCGGUGUAGCGGUGAAAUGCGUAGAUAUCGGGAAGAACACCAGUGGCGAAAGCGCUCUACUGGGCCAUAACUGACACUGAGGGACGAAAGCUAGGGGAGCGAAAGGG